CCGCGACGCCGCGUGGGUGAAGAAGGCCUGCGGGUUGUAAAGCCCUUUCGGUGGGGAAGAAAAGUUCUGACCUAACACGUCGGGACCUUGACGUAACCCACUAAAGAAGCACCGGCUAACUCUGUGCCAGCAGCCGCGGUAAUACGGAGGGGGCGAGUGUUGUUCGGAAUUACUGGGCGUAAAGGGCGCGCAGGCGGCUUGGCAAGUCAAGUGUGAAAGCCCUCAGCUUAACUGAGGAAUGGCGCUUGAAACUACCUCGCUAGAGGGUGGGAGAGGGAAGUGGAACUCUCGGUGUAGGGGUGAAAUCUGUAGAUAUCAGGAGGAACACCAAUGGCGAAGGCAGCUCGCUGGGACGGUACUGACGCUGAGACGCGAAAGCGUGGGGAGCAAACAGGAUUAGAUACCCUGGUAGUCCACCCCGUAAACGAUGGGCACUAG
rnacentral:rRNA from 1 species